rnacentral:rRNA from 1 species
UGGGGAAUCUUGGACAAUGGGCGCAAGCCUGAUCCAGCCAUGCCGCGUGAGUGAAGAAGGUCUUCGGAUUGUAAAGCUCUUUUACCAGGGACGAUAAUGACGGUACCUGGAGAAUAAGCCCCGGCAAACUUCGUGCCAGCAGCCGCGGUAAUACGAAGGGGGCUAGCGUUGUUCGGAAUUACUGGGCGUAAAGCGCACGUAGGCGGGCUAUUAAGUCAGGGUGAAAUCCCGGAGCUCAACUCCGGAACUG